rnacentral:rRNA from 1 species
GGGAGCUCUCCCAUAUGGUCGACCUGCAGGCGGCCGCGAAUUCACUAGUGAUUAGAGUUUGAUCAUGGCUCAGAUUGAACGCUGGCGGCAUGCCUUACACAUGCAAGUCGAACGGCAGCGCGGGGCAACCUGGCGGCGAGUGGCGAACGGGUGAGUAAUAUAUCGGAACGUACCCUGGAGUGGGGGAUAACGUAGCGAAAGUUACGCUAAUACCGCAUACGAUCUAAGGAUGAAAGCAGGGGACCGCAAGGCCUUGUGCUCCUGGAGCGGCCGAUAUCUGAUUAGCUAGUUGGUGGGGUAAAGGCCUACCAAGGCAUCGAUCAGUAGCUGGUCUGAGAGGACGACCAGCCACACUGGAACUGAGACACGGUCCAGACUCCUACGGGAGGCAGCAGUGGGGAAUUUUGGACAAUGGGCGCAAGCCUGAUCCAGCAAUGCCGCGUGAGUGAAGAAGGCCUUCGGGUUGUAAAGCUCUUUUGUCAGGGAAGAAACGGUGAGGGCUAAUAUCCCUUGCUAAUGACGGUACCUGAAGAAUAAGCACCGGCUAACUACGUGCCAGCAGCCGCGGUAAUACGAAUCGAAUUCCCGCGGCCGCCAUGGCGCCCGGAAGCAUGCGACGUCGGGCCCA